rnacentral:misc_RNA from 1 species
AAAAAAAAACUAGAGAGUUCAUCAGGCAGUCACGCGGCGGCUCUCCUCCGCAGGCAGUCGCGCGGCGGCCUCAUCCCCGCCGGCGAGCCUCCGCUCCCCUCCGCCGGUACGCCUCUAUCGCCGGUGGCCUCCCCCUCGGCUGAAAUGCGGUCCUUGUUGCUGGCCAUUGCUGCAGCUGGUGCAGAAAGGUCCGGCGACGGAUGUGGCCGGACGUCCCGUAUCCACAGCGACGAACGCGUCGAACCCGUGGUGGCUGACGUUCGAGAAGGCCAUCGCCUCCGCAGGUGGGGAGCUGUCUAAGCCUGAGAUCCUGUCUUCGACCACGGACUCACGCUUUGCGAGGCAGCUGGGCAUCCCUGCCCUCGGGUUUUCUCCGAUGACCAGUACGCCGAUACUGCUACAUGACCAUAACGAGGUAAAUUAGUUGAACUCCUGAGCUGAGACCAGGCCGCGCUAUCUACCCGCUCUCCUUCCUUGCCUUGUCCAGCAGAACCAUGUUUUUUCCCCUUGUAUCUCGGUG